rnacentral:rRNA from 1 species
AUGGAACUGUCCUUCAAGGAGUAUUUCGACAAGCUGACCGGCUCCCUCGACACGAUCCACGCUGACAUCCGCGGCCACACCAGCAAGCUCGACGACCUGGCCCAGUGGCGGCCGGAUCUGGAGUGGCGCGUGGAUCAGCUCUCUGCCGCGGUCGCCGAACUCCAACAAGCACGGCCGACCCCAUCUGCGGAGGGGCAGCCCACGGUGGCGCCCGCGCCACCACCACCUGCACCACCAGCGCCUCUGCAUGACCACGUCGGUACCAGCCAGAGCGCGGAGAGCGGCGCCCUCGGGUCCAUUGACCACGGCAUCGACGUUCUACCACGGGGACUGGCGCCGGCGUUCACGUUGGUGGCCACCUCGGCCAAGGGUCAGUUGCCCGUUCCCGCAUCCCCAUCCGUCCUCUCUCCGUAUGCGCACGCCAGCCAACUCCUAGCUGGGAUCGGCCAGGCUCAUCCCUCGAUCGGAUUUCCCCAAUUCACGGGUGAAAAUCCGUGUCUGUGGAGGACUCUCUGUGAGCAGUAUUUCAAUAUGUUCGGAAUUCAGGAAAAAUUCUGGGUUCCAAUGGCUUCACUAAAUUUUACGGGCGCCGCGUCUAUGUGGUUACAAUCAGUUUAG